CAGUAUAUACUUACGUAUAGAAUUGUGUUUCUUGGCUGUCUGGGGAGGAGGAAGGUGAACAUCAGUGAGAAGGAUGGGAGUGUCCUGGGAAGGGCAAACAGGUGGGCCAUGAUGGUUGACUCGGCUUGCCUUUCAAUGUUGGAAAGGAGAUUGACAAGGAACUCAUGCCGACCUUGAAUCCGUGACACUGGCCUAUGCUUAGAUCCUUCCUUUGUGGCUCAGCAUAAUUUCCUGAGCUUUUAAGGUAAAGACAACGAGGCACACAGAAACAGGUGAUCCACCCAUGGUCAUUUAACUAGUAGUCCGCAGCUUGGCCCCUGAGCUGAGGCUCUUAAACACGACCCUGUGCUGCCACCUGGUGGCUACACACGGGAAGUGCAACAACAGAGGUGUGUCCGGGCAAGUGCGGGGAGGUCAACAAAGGCUCCAGAAGGAUAUGAACUUGGAGCGGAAGCUAGGAAGACAUUUGAGACAGAAGGCUGGAGGACGCUGGAGACAUUUGAGACAGAGGGAGCAACACGUGCCAAGGCAGGAAGGCUACAGCUUUGGCGCCCUGCGCGGGGAGCAUGAUGAUCUUGGUGAACCAGGAGGAAAGUGGGACAUGUCAGGAGAUGCAGUAGAGAGGUCGUGGAGAGCAAGUUAUAGCGCACCUCCUAGGGACUGGGACUUUGAACUUGAGCUGAUGGGAAACCGAUGGAGAGCAAAGCAUGGGAGCAACAGGGCGAGAUUUCCAUUUGACACAAAUUGCCCUGUUGCUACAAGAAGCAAGAAAAUGGAUGUGAGAGCUGAGA